rnacentral:rRNA from 1 species
UACAUGGGGUGCAAACGUUGCUCGGAAUUAUUGGGCGUAAAGCGCGCGUAGGCGGUUACUCAAGUCGGAUGUGAAAGCCCUCGGCUUAACUGAGGAAGUGCACCCGAAACUGAGUAGCUAGAGUACUAAAGAGGGUCGCGGAAUUCCCGGUGUAGAGGUGAAAUUCGUAGAUAUCGGGAGGAACAUCGGUGGCGAAGGCGGCGACCUGGGUAGAUACUGACGCUGAGGCGCGAAAGCGUGGGGAGCAAACAGG